rnacentral:sRNA from 1 species
UAAAAAUGCGUCGAUAGGAUGUCGUUCC